CGCCGCGCCCGCUCCGGGGCGGGCUCCGGCAGCGGGGGAGCAGCGGCGCCGCUUCGCCCCGAGCAGCCCGAGCAGGAUCCCCGGGACCCCCCCGGUUCCCCCGGGCCUCCUCCCCGUGCCGGAGCCCCGGCCGGAGCGGGAGGAUGUCGGGCAGCACGGCGAGGAAGGUGCAGCCCUUCACCAUCAGCACCAAGCUGUCCCUGCCCAAGUGCGCCGCCGAGUUCGCAGCCGACGCCUGCCCCGGCAUCGCCCUGGCCUCGGCGCUGGACAACCACCGGGGCCUCCGGAGAGACCUCAACCAGCGCAUCUCCCUCUACCUGGCCCAGGCCAGGGGGUCGUCCUCGGGGCCCCCCGGCCAGCCCCGCCGCGGGGAGGAAGGCGGCGAGGAGGAGAGGCUGAGCCGGGGCUCCCUGGCGCGCUCCAUCAAGAAGAUCACGCUCUCCAACUGGCACGGGGAGGCUGGCUCCGGGGAUGCAGGGGGGUCCGGGGAGCCCGGGGGGGCCGGAGGGGAGAGGAACCACAACAACAACAACAGCAGGACCGGGAAGGCUCAGUUCAAGGUCUAUCUCAGGAAGGAUGUGGACGGGGAGGACGACAGGCAGGAGGCUGCGAGCCCCCACGCCAGCGGGUUCUGCUCCCCGCUGGACAGAGGGUCCCCCUUGGAGGCGCUGGCACCCCAUAAAGACAGCCCCGGGAGCAAGGAGCCGGCGGCCCCCAGGAGCGUGGGGCGAAGCGUGCCGGGGGCACCCACCCUCCCGGACCCCAGCCCCCUGCUCGCCCAGUUCAACCGGGAGAUGCUGCAGGCGGAGGGCUGGGUGCGAGGCAAGCUGCGGGACCUGAAGGACGGCUGCGAGCUGCAGGGCUGGGAGCAGGUGGCGCAGGCCCUGCAGAGGGAGAUGAAGGACUUCGACAACACCCUCAUCAAGCUCAGCCAGAUGGGCGAGCAGCUGGCGGGCAGGCCCAGCCCCGGCGGCGAGGCGGUGCGGAGGCAGCUGCAGGCGCUGCGGGAGCAGUGGCAGCUCCUGAAGCAGACGGCCGCCAGCCAGAGCAGGGCCCUGGGGGGGCUGCGCAGCCUGCAGGACUUCAGCAGGAAGGCGGAGAGCCUGGAGGCGUGGAUCCGCAGCAAGGAGGAGAAGCCCUGCCUGGCGGCACUCCUGCAGGAAAGCCCGGAGAAGAUCCAGCUCACCCGCCGCAUCCUCGACUUGAAGCAGGAGGAGCAGCACUUCCAGAGCCUGCACGAGGAGCUCAACAGCCUGGCCCAGAAGCUGGAGAAGCAAGGCAAAAGCGAGAGCCGGAGCGUGUCUCGCCCGGCGCAAGCACCUCAACAAAAUGUGGCUGCGGCUGCAGGGCACCCUGAAGGAGCACCACGAGGCCCUGCAGCUGGCCCUGGAGGUCGCCGCCUUCCUGCAGCAGGCCGAGGCCCUGCUGGGCACCAUCCACACCAAGUGGAGGAGCGUCUGCGGCGUGGGGAAGCACGGGGAGGCCGAGGCCAGCCGGGAUCGGGAUGUCAGGGACAUAGCCAGCCAGGUGAUGAUGCUGGAUGUGACCGUGUCGCAGCUCCUCAGCCUGCAGCCCAGCCUGGCGGCCCGAGUCACCCCCAAGCACCGGGACGUGAAGGAGAGCUGGGCCCGGCUCCAGCAGGCGCUGAGGACGGACAAGGCUCCGGCAGUGGCUGUGGGAAGCGGUUUCCCAGGGGGGGAAGCUGCGGCUGCGAGCGCUGA
rnacentral:lncRNA from 1 species